rnacentral:rRNA from 1 species
UACGAAGGGGGCUAGCGUUGCUCGGAAUCACUGGGCGUAAAGCGCACGUAGGCGGACUCUUAAGUCGGUGGUGAAAUCCUGGAGCUCAACUCCAGAACUGCCUUCGAUACUGAGAGUCUCGAGUCCGGGAGAGGUGAGUGGAACUGCGAGUGUAGAGGUGAAAUUCGUAGAUAUUCGCAAGAACACCAGUGGCGAAGGCGGCUCACUGGCCCGGAACUGACGCUGAGAUGCGAAAGCGUGGGGAGCAAACAGG